UACGAAGGGGGCUAGCGUUGUUCGGAAUCACUGGGCGUAAAGCGCACGUAGGCGGAUUGUUAAGUCGGGGGUGAAAUCCUGAGGCUCAACCUCAGAACUGCCUUCGAUACUGGCAAUCUCGAGUCCGGAAGAGGUUGGUGGAACAGCUAGUGUAGAGGUGAAAUUCGUAGAUAUUAGCUAGAACACCAGUGGCGAAGGCGGCCAACUGGUCCGGUACUGACGCUGAGGUGCGAAAGUGUGGGGAGCAAACAGG
rnacentral:rRNA from 1 species